UACAGAGGGUGCGAGCGUUAAUCGGAAUUACUGGGCGUAAAGCGUGCGUAGACGGUUAUUUAAGUCGGAUGUGAAAGCCCCGGGCUCAACCUGGGAAUUGCAUUCGAGACUGAAUAGCUAGGGUACGGUAGAGGGAAGCGGAAUUUCCGGUGUAGCGGUGAAAUGCGUAGAUAUCGGAAGGAACAUCGGUGGCGAAAGCGGCUUCCUGGACCAGUACCGACGUUCAGGCACGAAAGCGUGGGGAGCAAACAGG
rnacentral:rRNA from 1 species